rnacentral:tRNA from 1 species
AGGAGCGUGGUGGAAUUGGUAGACACGGCCCCAUGUAAAGGGGCUGUCCUUCGCGGCGUGCGGGUUCGAGUCCCGUCGUUCCGU